rnacentral:rRNA from 1 species
GUGCCAGCAGCCGCGGUAAUACGAACUGUGCAAACGUUAUUCGGAUUCACUGGGCUUAAAGGGUGCGUAGGCGGCUUGCCAAGUAGGGUGUGAAAGCCCCCGGCUUAACCGGGGAAUUGCGCCCUAAACUGGCGAGCUGGAGUGAGAUAGGGGUGUGUGGAACUUCCGGUGGAGCGGUGAAAUGUGUUGAUAUCGGAAGGAACGCCGGUGGCGAAAGCGACACACUGGGUCUCAACUGACGCUGAGGCACGAAAGCCAGGGGAGCGAACGGGAUUAGAAACCCCGGUAGUCC